CUUAAAUGCCACUUCGGACCGAAAGCACUGCCUCCAGGGCCGUCUAUUAUCAUUUGUUCUCCGGCCUGAACGCGGUGCUGCUGGGCUGCGAAUUUGCGCGGUAAUUGGACAUUGGUAGCGAAGGUGUGAAGCACAUUCCUGCUGUCGAAGUGUGGUGGUUGGAUGGCGAAACUUAAUUAGAGUUACGAUAGAUCAGGAGAUGUAGAGCAGCUCUGGAGGAGAUGGUUCGGUUAAUUGUGCCCCAAAGAUCCCCUAAGAUCGACCAAUUAAUGAUCAGUCAGUUUUGUAACUAAGAUCAAACUGAAGUCUGCAAAUCAAACCACGAUCGAACGCCUGGCAACCCCAUACGGCGACAUGAUCUCGACUCGACAGCACCCCGUUCGGAGCCGGUUUUUCGGAGAAUUUGCUCGCUUUUCCUCAUAUUGCGCCACCACAGGACGACAGGUCGGUGCACGCGACAGAAUGUAGGAGUACGUGCGACCACGCGCGCAGAGGUCGCAAGGUGCAACGAAAACAGAAUUUCACAAUUUCGAUCUACAAGGAGGUGGCUUUGGAUCGAGGGAUCGAUGUUUGGACGGGUGGCGCGGCAAUCUGUGAUCAAUCGGAACACUAGAUGGCCGACCGGUGACUAUGGCUGAUAGUAGAAAACCAGAAAUUGCACCAGAAAACACCAGAACAACCUCAAGGAAAUGAAAUGUGACUGCAGCAAUGGGGUGGAGGUGGUGGUAUUGAUCAGCUAGCGGUGUGGGAGUAUAAUGUGCGAGCGCGCCCGCGAGCGGGCUAAAUUUAUGGCACUGCGAUAGCCGCGAGUAAUGGAGCCUGGCGAGGAAAAACUUCGGUUUUACCGAUUGGCCGAGUGCGGAAGGGUCAACAGCAUUAGAAGCAGCAACGGUAUUUGCAUAUAGCGCAGCGAUGGAAUGUUUGACUUUCAUUUUCGUAACUCAGCAUCGCCUUCGAUGGCGGUGGCGGAACGGUGACAAGCGAACGAACGAAACCAAAACUGAGAGGUGAACAAAUUAGAUAAAUAAAUUUAAUAAAAGCCGAGCGAAGGCGAAGGCGAA